UACGGAGGGUGCGAGCGUUGUCCGGAUUUAUUGGGUUUAAAGGGUGCGUAGGUGGCUUUUUAAGUCAGUGGUGAAAUACAGCCGCUCAACGGUUGAGGUGCCAUUGAUACUGAAGAGCUUGAAACAAGUGGAGGCUGCCGGGAAUGGAUGGUGUAGCGGUGAAAUGCAUAGAUAUCAUCCAGAACACCGAUUGCGAAGGCAGGUGGCUACGUUUGAUUUGACACUGAGGCACGAAAGCAUGGGGAGCAAACAGG
rnacentral:rRNA from 1 species